UUUAACAAGAUGAGGAACAUCAUUCUGUUGAUUCUGAUGCUGCACUGCGGCCAAGCCAGCAUUCUUGGUAAAAGUGUUGUCCAGACUCCUUCUGAUCUCCUGAAGAAAGAAAAUGAAGUUGCCGAGAUCAAAUGUACAAACAAUGUCCAAAACUAUGAUGUCACACAAUGGUACAAGCAAAGCCAGAUCACCAAGGACCUUCAGUUCAUGGGAUACCUGAAUAUUAAACAAGUGGUCAAGGAGAAUAAAUUUAAUGACAAGAUCAAACUGGAUGGAGAUGGAAGAAAUAAUGUCACUCUGACUAUCAACACGCUCACAGUGAAUGACAGUGCAGUGUAUUUCUGUGCAGCGUAUUACACAGUGCUCAGAAUCAGCUCGGUCUGA